UACGUAGGGGGCAAGCGUUGUCCGGAAUUAUUGGGCGUAAAGAGCUCGUAGGCGGUUUGUCGCGUCUGCCGUGAAAGUCCGGGGCUCAACUCCGGAUCUGCGGUGGGUACGGGCAGACUAGAGUGAUGUAGGGGAGACUGGAAUUCCUGGUGUAGCGGUGAAAUGCGCAGAUAUCAGGAGGAACACCGGUGGCGAAGGCGGGUCUCUGGGCCGAAACUGACGCUGAGGAGCGAAAGCGUGGGGAGCAAACAGG
rnacentral:rRNA from 1 species